CCUACGGGCGGCUGCAGUGGGGAAUAUUGGGCAAUGGGGGAAACCCUGACCCAGCGACGCCGCGUGAGGGAAGAAGGCCUUAGGGUCGUAAACCUCUGUUGUGUGGGAAGAAGAGCGUGACGGUACCACACGAGGAAGUCCCGGCUAACUACGUGCCAGCAGCCGCGGUAAUACGUAGGGGACGAGCGUUGUCCGGAUUUACUGGGCGUAAAGGGCGCGUAGGCGGUCAUUUAAGUCAGCUGUGAAAUGGUUUGGCUUAACCGGAUCAUGCGGUU
rnacentral:rRNA from 1 species